rnacentral:rRNA from 1 species
UACCAGCUCUCCGAGUAGUGUGGAUGUUUAUUGGGCCUAAAGCAUCCGUAGCUUGCUAAGCAAGUCCCCUGUUAAAUCCACCGAUUCAAUCGGUGGAUUGCGGGGGAUACUGUUUGGCUAGGGGACGGGAGAGGCCGACGGUAUUUCCGGGGUAGGGGUGAAAUCCUAUAAUCCCGGGAAGACCACCAGUGGCGAAGGCUGUCUGCUAGAACGCGCCCGACGGUGAGGGAUGAAAGCUGGGGGAGCGAACCGGAUUAGAUACCCGGGUAGUCCCAGCUGUAAACGAUGCAGGCUAGGUGUUUGGGCGGCCACGUGCCGCUCUAGUGCCGCAGGGAAGCCGUUAAGCCUGCCGCCUGGGGAGUACGGCCGCAAGGCUGAAACUUAAGGAAUUGGCGGGGGAGCACCACAAGGGGUGAAGCUUGCGGUUU